ACUUCGUUCUCAGUUAAGACUGUAUAGGUCCUCCCUCUCUCUCUCUCCCUCUCCCCACCCUUCUACCCAUCCUCUGGCUGGACCAUGCCAGGAUGAACUCAAUGCCACCCACACACAGGAGAUGUAGAGCCCUCACAUGGAAGGUAUCCGGAUUACAGAAUCACCGUUGGAAGGGGAGCAGCCCAGCAAGGUGGCCCAACCAGGAAUAUCCACAUUAGAUGUUUUGUGAGUGCUGUAUUCCAGGGACCAUGACACCUCACCUUCCGGCUCCUGCAUCCUUCCUGCAGUAUCUAAGGGGACAGUGAGUUUAGAUGCCACUGAUACAAUCCCAACAUCACAAAAUGGAAGGAGUUUGGGUUCCAGAGUAACCAGCCUCGCAGGAGAGCUGCCAGACUUGCCUUGGACAGUGACACGAGGGAGAAACAAACGUAUAUGUGAGAUCGCUGAGGUCAUGUUACCGCGACUGAAGUAAGAUAAGGUGGUGUCCGGAGUAUGGGGUCUGGAGCUUGACUACCUGGAUUCAAAUCCCUGCUCAGUCAUCUCUUGGCUGUGUGACUUAAGAAAAAGAGUCCAUACUGUUGCUAAGUUACAAUUAGACCUUAUGUCAGGACCCUAGAUGAUUAAGCAUUUUCUCCAUGGCAUGUGCUUGGAAAAGGAUGCUUUAUGCAAGAAUGUCACGGAUGGAUAAAAGUUACCAAGACUUGCUAUAUAGCACAAGGAACUCUACCCAAUAUUCUGUGAGAACCUAUAUGGGAAAAGAAUAUGAAAAAGAAUGGAUAUGUUGGAGUCCCUGUUGUGGCUCAGCAGUAACGAACCUGACUAGGAUCCACGAGGAUGCAGGUUCAAUCCCUGGCCUCACUCAGUGGGUUAAGGAUCCGGCAUAGCUCUGAGCUGUGGUGUAGGUCGCAGAUGUGGCUCGGAUCCUGAGUGGCCCUAAAAAACAACAACAAAAAAUGGAUAUGUGUAUGUGUAUAACUGAAUCACUUUGUUGUACAGCAGAAAUUAAUACAACAUUGUAAAUCAACGACACUUCAAUAAAACUUUUUAAAAACUGGAAAAAAGAGAACAAGAUGUUGUGAAAGAGCAACAGAGCUCUUAGAAAUUGAGAUAUGUAAUUAUGACAGACUCAUAUACAGACUGGGUAAACAACAAGGCCCUGUAUUCAAUACCCUGUGAUAGACCACAGUGGAAAAGAGUGCGAAAAGGCAUAUAUAUAUAUAUUCUGAAUCACCUUGUGCAGCAGAAAUUAACACAACACUGUGCAUCCACUGUACUUCAAUAAAAUU
rnacentral:lncRNA from 1 species